rnacentral:rRNA from 1 species
UACGUAGGGUGCAAGCGUUGUCCGGAAUUAUUGGGCGUAAAGAGCUCGUAGGCGGUUUGUCGCGUCGGCUGUGAAAACCCGAGGCUCAACCUCGGGCCUGCAGUCGAUACGGGCAAACUAGAGUGUGGUAGGGGAGACUGGAAUUCCUGGUGUAGCGGUGAAAUGCGCAGAUAUCAGGAGGAACACCGGCGGCGAAGGCGGGUCUCUGGCCAUAACUGACGCUGAGGAGCGAAAGCGUGGGGGAGCGAACAGG